rnacentral:tRNA from 1 species
AAGAAAUUAGUUAAAUUAUAAUAUUAAUUUGUCAAGUUAAAGUUAUCUUCUAGAUAUUUCUUA